CCCUUAGAUGUUCUGGCCGCACGCGCGCUACACUGAUGCAUUCAACGAGUUUCUUCCUGGUCCGAGAGGAAUGGGUAACCUUUUGAAAGUGCAUCGUGAUAGGGAUAGACUAUUGCAAUUAUUGGUCUUCAACGAGGAAUUCCUAGUAGACGUAGUUCAUCAGACUGCAUCGAUUACGUCCCUGCCCUUUGUACACACCGCCCGUCGCCCCUACCGAUUGAAUGCUCAGGUGAGCCAUUCGGACUUUCAUCAUGCUGGUUUCCAGUUUUGAUGAAGGAAAGUCUUGCGAACCUUAUCAUUUAGAGGAAGGAGAAGUCGUAACA
rnacentral:rRNA from 1 species